UACGAAGGGGGCUAGCGUUGCUCGGAAUCACUGGGCGUAAAGGGUGCGUAGGCGGGGUUUUAAGUCAGAGGUGAAAUCCUGGAGCUCAACUCCAGAACUGCCUUUGGUACUGAGAAUCUUGAGUUCGGGAGAGGUGAGUGGAACUGCGAGUGUAGAGGUGAAAUUCGUAGAUAUUCGCAAGAACACCAGUGGCGAAGGCGGCUCACUGGCCCGAUACUGACGCUGAGGCACGAAAGCGUGGGGAGCAAACAGG
rnacentral:rRNA from 1 species